rfam:Flavobacterium sp. KMS contig019, whole genome shotgun sequence.
UAGGAGUAAGCCGAAAAUCCUGACUUAGAGUAGGCA